UAGUAAAAAUAAACAAGAUUUCAUUUGCGUUUGAGAAUAACGCACAAUACAAAAGCUUUCCCAUGGACUUGGGCAAAACGGCGAGAAUUUCUUCAAUAAGAUGCUCGUUACAUCUGAAGUGUAAUCAAUUCUAUUUGUGCAGAAAACCUUUUUGGGUUAUUUUCUGGAGGAAGAAUAGCCAAUUUUCUCUUUCUACUCAAAAACCCAUUUCUCCCUCAAUUUCUCCCUUUCUCGUGGGCAGUGGCAAUGUUUGCGAAAUUCAGUUCCUGUAAUUCGAAAGUCCUCCUCACCUGAUGUUGGAAAUUUCUCUCAUCACCACACCUAAUAGUUUCUUCACUCAGAUUAGCCUAAAUUUUUAUUUAACAUUUAUGAAGUGCUUUGCAGAUGUUUGACGAAAGGGCAAGGAGAAUCGACACCUUUAUGUUUUUAAUGUAAUGACUAGAAAUACUAUUCUGGCAUCCAGAUUCGGACACAGAAAGGUUUAUGUGAAGAAUAACUGGGAUUUGCCAGAAGCAAGUAAGCAUCAACGAAGUUAUUUAUAUAAAUGAAGAAGAAUAAAUGUACCUGGAGCGAUGUAUCCAUAGGAGCCGACUGUUACUGUCCAGUUAGACGCAUCUGGUUUUAGCAACCUUGCUGUCCCGAAAUCUGAGACCUUAGCUUCAUAUUCCGGGUUCAGUAAAAUGUUACUUCCGGUUAUGUCUCGGUGCACAAUUGGCGAGGUGCAGUCAUGGUGCAAGUAAAAUUAGGCAUGCGCCACACCUUUGAUAAUUUUUAUCCUCAUUGACCAGUCCAACAUCUUUGCCUCUAUCUCGUUAUACAACACAUUUUCCAAACUACCCCUCUCCACGUAUUCAUAUACCAAGAACACGCAGCCAUUCGUCGAAGAGAAAUUGUACAUUUUCACAAUAUUUCGGUGACAUAUGUCUGUCAUUGCACGUACUUCAGACUCGAAACGCUUGUAGUGGGUAGAUGAUGAUGAUGUUUCAUGGAAGUGCUUUACAGCAAGAAUUCUGUCAUUUUGAAGUGUUGCUUUGUAUAAACUUCCUUGUCCACCUUUGCCUAUGCAGUACUUUUUAUUGAAAUUCUCUGUUGCCUUUACAAUAUCCUUGAACCAUACCGAGCAUAAUCUAUCACCACCUGAAUCUAGGUUUUUCUCAUCGAAGUCAACUUUGUGGUUACGGUGGCAGCAGAAAAUUCGAAACAGAAUCAGAAGAACCAGUGAUACGGCAACCGGAACAACCACUGCAAUAAUCAAUUUCCAUUUAUUGGUUUUGCUGCGGUUAUUGGAUGAUGGUGUACCACUACAAGGACUCAAAGUCUUCAACUCAUUGCUGCACAGAUCUUGAUUACCACCUAAGGCUUUGACAGGAUCUUUUUCGAAUGCGUUCACAUCUGGAACUGGACCCUCGAGUUUGUUAUUUGAAAGAUCAAUAGAUGUAAGACUAAGCAUACCCUGUAGAGAAGAGGGUAUUGAACCAGAUAGCUUGUUGUUAGAGAGUUUCAAGCUCUCCAAAUUUCUUAAAGUCCCAAGCUGAGGUGAUAUCUCUCCAUUGAGUUCGUUUUGACUGAGAUCAAGAUUAGACUGCAAAGCCCCCAGAUUCCCAACCUGGUGCAGAAUUGGUCCAUUUAACUUGUUAUUAUUGAGUUUCAAAGAUAUUAUGUCUUGGCAGUCUCCAAUUUCCCCAGGAUUAAACAUACCACUGGAAUAUGACCUGACAACUUAUUUGAAGAAAGGCUAAUAUCUUCCAGAGAUUUCAAGCUUGCCAUAACUGGUGGAAUUUCACCUGAUAUCAUGUUCUCCGAUAUUCUGAAGUACCCAAGCUGGGUGCAAAAUCCCCAGUUCGGUGACAGUUCACCCGGCAACUGAUUUCUACUCAAGUCAAUGAAUUCCAGAAGUGGGUAAACUCCAAAUGCAUUUGUGGUGUCUCCUUCAAGAAGGUUGCCUAGCCGGACUCUGGAUAAUUUUGUGCAGUUUCUGAAGCUUUCAGGAAUUGGUCCGUUUAGAUUAUUUUUGUUGGCUGUCAAGUGUACGAGGUUCCCUCCUACGCAAAUGUUUGGAGGAAGCUUUCCAGUGAAAUUGUUGGAAGAGAAGCUUGCAUUUUUUAGCGAUCUGGGACCGAACUCUUCUGGUAUACUACCAGUGAAGUUGUUAUUUGCGAGAUUAAGGAUUUCCAAGUUCUCCUUGCAAUGUGUUGUUGUACAUGGAAAAAAUCUUCAAGCUUUCCAUGUUACCUAUUUCUCGAGGAAGCACUCCACUGAGUUGGUUGCUGUAGAAGGUCAUGCGUUCAAGCAUAGUUAAGUUUCCUAUGCUUGAUGGAAUUGAGCCAUUAAUAACAUUCUAACUCGAGCUCGAUCAGAUUCUAUAAGUUUCCAGUGAAGUUGUUACUUCCCAGAUCAAGAUAAGCAAGUUUUGGAAGAGACCCAAUUUGAGUUGGGAUAUCACCAACCAGAUUAUUGAGAUUGAGAUUGAGAGAGACAAGGUCGGGAAACACUGAGAAGUUGAAUUGAUCGAGCGUUCCAGUAGUGUAGUAGAGAGUGUCAUUGAGGUUACCACUUCCAUUUGUUAUCUGUAUAUGUUUCAUAGAACACAAGAAUGCAAAUAGAAAGGAAUCCAAUUGAUAAUAAAAAAAAAAUCUCUACGCUUUU